rnacentral:rRNA from 1 species
UACGUAGGGUGCAAGCGUUAUCCGGAAUCACUGGGCGUAAAGCGUGUGUAGGCGGAAGCUUAAGUGAGAUGUUAAAUCGUGUGGCUCAACCAUAUCGAUGCAUCUCAUACUGGGCUUCUAGAGGAUGGCAGAGGCAAGUGGAAUUGGUAGUGUAGCAGUGAAAUGCGUAGAUAUUACCAGGAACACCAAUGGCGAAGGCAGCUUGCUGGGCCACCCCUGACGCUGAGACACGAAAGCGUGGGGAGCGAACAGG